rnacentral:rRNA from 1 species
UACGUAGGGUGCGAGCGUUGUUCGGAAUUAUUGGGCGUAAAGCGCGUGUAGGCGGUUUUAUAAGUCUGAUGUGAAAGCCCCGGGCUCAACCUGGGAAGUGCAUUGGAUACUGUAAGACUUGAGUACGGGAGAGGGCAGUGGAAUUCCUAGUGUAGGAGUGAAAUCCGUAGAUAUUAGGAGGAACACCGGUGGCGAAGGCGGCUGCCUGGACCGAUACUGACGCUGAGACGCGAAAGCGUGGGGAGCAAACAGG